ACGCUGGCGGCAUGCCUUACACAUGCAAGUCGAACGGCAGCACGGGAGCAAUCCUGGUGGCGAGUGGCGAACGGGUGAGUAAUAUAUCGGAACGUGCCCAGUCGUGGGGGAUAACGCAGUGAAAGCUGUGCUAAUACCGCAUACGAUCUCUGGAUGAAAGCGGGGGACUCGCAAGAGCCUCGCGCGAUUGGAGCGGCCGAUAUCAGAUUAGCUAGUUGGCGGGGUAAAAGCCCACCAAGGCGACGAUCUGUAGCUGGUCUGAGAGGACGACCAGCCACACUGGGACUGAGACACGGUCCAGACUCCUACGGGAGGCAGCAGUGGGGAAUUUUGGACAAUGGGCGAAAGCCUGAUCCAGCAAUGCCGCGUGCAGGAUGAAGGCCUUCGGGUUGUAAACUGCUUUUGUACGGAACGAAACGGUCUGCCCUAAUACGGUGGGCUAAUGACGGUACCGUAAGAAUAAGCACCGGCUAACUACGUGCCAGCAGCCGCGGUAAUACGUAGGGUGCGAGCGUUAAUCGGAAUUACUGGGCGUAAAGCGUGCGCAGGCGGUUAUAUAAGACAGAUGUGAAAUCCCCGGGCUCAACCUGGGACCUGCAUUUGUGACUGUAUAGCUAGAGUACGGUAGAGGGGGAUGGAAUUCCGCGUGUAGCAGUGAAAUGCGUAGAUAUGCGGAGGAACACCGAUGGCGAAGGCAAUCCCCUGGACCUGUACUGACGCUCAUGCACGAAAGCGU
rnacentral:rRNA from 1 species